rnacentral:rRNA from 1 species
UACAGAGGUCUCAAGCGUUGUUCGGAUUCAUUGGGCGUAAAGGGUGCGCAGGCGGCCAAGUGUGUGAGGCGUGAAAGCCCAGGGCUUAACCCUGGAAUUGCACCUCAAACUACAUGGCUAGAGCAUUGGAGAGGGAAGCGGAAUUCACGGUGUAGCAGUGAAAUGCGUAGAUAUCGUGAGGAACACCAGAGGCGAAGGCGGCUUCCUGGACAAUUGCUGACGCUCAGGCACGAAAGCGUGGGGAGCAAAAGGG